CGGAGUCCUUGUCCCUGCACGACUGUCGGCUAGCCUCGCGUGUCGUACGUGUCUUCCGUCGCCGCGGCUCAUCUCCCCUCCUUGUCGAUCGAGCAGAGAGCAGCCAUGGCGCUGCACCUUCUCGGAUCCAAGCUCCCCCAAGCCCUGCCGCGUCAUCUCGUGAAGGGGCUGCGCCCGCUGGCUAAGGCUACCGUUCCGUUGGUACAGGAGAGCUCCGCCUUUGGUUCGUUGCCCACCAAGAGCCAAGGAUCUACUGCCUAGAGCCAACGCUACCUGUAGCCUCAGUUCAUCCUCAAAGGCGCAGGCAGGUUAUGAUUCAAGUUUUGGAAGAAGGAACUUCAGUUCAGGCCUUCCCACUGAAAAUACUCGGGUAUAGUGUUCCGCUCAUAAUUCUAAUGGCAUUAAACUCUUCCCAGAUAAUUGAUUGUUUAAUUAUACAGUUAUUUGUCACUAAGAUUUCUAACAUGUUGGAACAUCUUUUCUUCCUUGCAUGCUGGUUUAUUCAUGUAUGAAUUAGUUAUCACUAUAGGUAUCAAAUCAAAUUUCUAAAUAAUUGUGGUCUCUCUUGAUACUAAAGGUUGGUGUAUUUCUUUG